rnacentral:tRNA from 1 species
CCUGGUCGUAGCCGGCGGAAUAGCCCUCGUUGAAGACGAGGUAGAGCAUGGCGGCCACUGCCGAGAGCCGCUCGGCGCGCUCGGCCGGGCC